ACAGAAGAAUCUGUUUCACCAGCUCGCCAUCGUCAAGGGGAUGCCAACCGCUUUUCGAGCAGCUCAGGAGGAAGCUGCACGACGCCGUCAGUGGAGUGAUCAGUUGAACCAAACUGGCGAACAACUGAACAACGCACUGACGAGACUGCGCACUCAAGAAACACAUCAUCGAACCCAAUU
rnacentral:ribozyme from 1 species